rnacentral:rRNA from 1 species
GAUGAACGCUGGCGGCGUGCUUAACACAUGCAAGUCGAACGGAAAGGCUCCUGCUUGCAGGGGUACUCGAGUGGCGAACGGGUGAGUAACACGUGGGUGAUCUGCCCUGCACUUCGGGAUAAGCCUGGGAAACUGGGUCUAAUACCGGAUAGGACGAUGGUUUGGAUGCCAUUGUGGUAAGUUUUUUCGGUGUGGGAUGAGCUCGCGGCCUAUCAGCUUGUUGGUGGGGUAAUGGCCUACCAAGGCGUCGACGGGUAGCCGGCCUGAGAGGGUGUACGGCCACAUUGGGACUGAGAUACGGCCCAGACUCCUACGGGAGGCAGCAGUGGGGAAUAUUGCACAAUGGGCGGAAGCCUGAUGCAGCGACGCCGCGUGGGGGAUGACGGCCUUCGGGUUGUAAACUCCUUUCGCUAGGGACGAAGCGCAAGUGACGGUACCUGGAGAAGAAGCACCGGCUAACUACGUG